GGGGGGGCAGCAGUCAGUCCCGUUGCCAGGAGGCGGAACCCGGACACAAUGGGGUCUGGGACUUGGGCCCGGCAGGGGCAGGAAUCCAGACACCCCACCCUGCCGUCCCAGCCGGGACACCAGGAGCAGGUCAGUGCAUCAACUUCUCGGGCCUCCCGGGCACUAGGGCCCCCACACCAACCCCCUCGCCCGGGUAUCCUCCCUCGAUGUCUCUAAAAUAUCCGGGGUCUCCAGAACCCCAGGGAAUUCCUCUCCCGUGUAGAGUUCAAACUUGGCGCGCGCAUAUAAACCCCUACUGAAUUCCUUUUGGGGGUAGGGGACGGGACAGGGCCUCGAAGCUGGGUCCCUGUCCCUCACCCCCCUGGAGCGGAGAAAGCUGGCGUUUGUUAGCCUGGUGCCUAGGAUACGCGUGGGCCCCGCCCAGGAGUCAGGCCCAGCUGGAGGGGGAUGGGGAGUGCGUCCCCGCGAGUCGGGGUGGAGGGGCCCGGGCGGUCACCUUGUGUCCGCAGGUGUUGCAGGCCAGGCCGAAAGCGCUCCCACUGCGCCAUGGGCUCGGACGUCUGGGUUGGCCCUUGGCGGCCGCACCGGCCCCGCGGCCCCAUUGCAGCGCUCUACAGCGGCCCGGGGCCCAAGUACAAGCUGCCACCCAACACCGGCUACAUCCUGCACGACCCGUCGCGGCCCCGCGCCCCCGCCUUCACCUUCGGCGCGCGCCUCCCCACGCAACAGACUUCGUGCGGCCCCGGGCCAGGCUACCUGGUGCCUGCUCGCAUGACCGUGCGCGGCCGCGACGGCGCCCCUGCCUACUCCAUCUUCGGCCGCCCGCGCCACACAGCGCCCUUCCUCACUCCCGGACCGGAAGAACUCCAAGCUCCACCGGGCCUUGGCAGACCGUGGUUCGAAUUCCCCCUAAUCCCUGGGCCCCAGCCUAGUCCCCCACCCGGCCUGCAAUCCAGUUCGGCCGACACCCGAGUCCGCCCGCAGGCAGGUACUUCCCGGAGCGAGCGGGGAACGUGGCGUACCCCAGCGCGCCCCGGCACACCAUCGCUCCCCGAAACUGGGGCCUCCGCGCGGAGCCGCAGACCCCAGGCCCUGGGACCUACACUGUACCGUCGCUCCUGGGCCCGCGCGUCGUCGGUAAAGUCUCCGCCCCGACUUACUCCAUCUACGGCCGCAGCGCGGUGGGCAGCUUCUGCGAGGACCUCAGCAAGACUCCGGGGCCCUGCGCCUACCACGUGGUGAACCCUGGGAUCUACAAGCCCCGGGCCCCCCAGUUCUCAAUGCUGGCGCGGACCUCGCUCCCCCGGGGCAGCACCCUGAAUCCCGGGCCCGCAGCCUACAACGUGGACCAGCCCCGGAAGCCUCGCGGCUGGAGCUUUGGGAUUAGGCACUCGGACUACCUGGCCCCGAUGGUGUUCGACGUGGAUGACUGACCAGCCGCACGGACGCAGCCCCACAAAUGUUUCUUAAAACUUCUGGAGCCAG